ACUCAAAGGAAUAGACGGGGGCCCGCACAAGCGGUGGAGUAUGUUGUUUAAUUCGAAGCAACGCGAAGAACCUUACCAAGCCUUGACAUACCGGACAAGACUAUAGAGAUAUAGUUGAGGAUGAAGGAUACAGGUGGUGCAUGGUUGUCGUCAGCUCGUGUCGUGAGAUGUUGGGUUAAGUCCCGCAACGAGCGCAACCCUUUUCUUCUGUUACCAUCAUUAAGUUGGGGACUCAGGAGAGACUGCCGGUGAUAAACCGGAGGAAGGUGGGGAUGAGGUCAAAUCAUCAUGCCCCUUAUGGCUUGGGCUACAAACGUACUACAAUGGCGUAUACAAAGAGCUGCCAGCAGGUGACUGUGAGCGAAUCUCGUAAAGUACGUCUCAGUUCGGAUUGAAGUCUGCAACUCGACUUCAUGAAGUUGGAAUCGCUAGUAAUCGCGAAUCAGCAUGUCGCGGUGAAUACGUUCUCGGGCCUUGUACACACCGCCCGU
rnacentral:rRNA from 1 species